rnacentral:rRNA from 1 species
GGAUGCGAUCAUACCAGCACUAACGCACCGGAUCCCAUCAGAACUCCGAAGUUAAGCGUGCUCGGGCGAGAGUAGUACUAGGAUGGGUGACCCCCUGGGAAGUCCUCGUGUUGCAUCCC